GACGUGCUGUCCCAAUGGUUAGCGUGCUGGACUCCGGAUCGAGUGUUCCGGGUUCGAGCCCUGGCCAGGGUCA